UUUUCGUAGGUGAACCUGCGGAAGGAUCAUUAGUGAAUUCAAAAGGCCUUGGGGGACUUUGCAAAAAGCACCCCAGGCCGACUUUACUAUUUCACACACUUUGUGCUCUCGUCUUUUUUAACACUGUUGCAUCUAUUAAACAGUUGAUGAUAAACCAAGUUGAUAAACAUUGAAAAAACUUUCAGCAAUGGAUCUCUUGGCUCUCGCAUCGAUGAAGAACGCAGC
rnacentral:misc_RNA from 1 species